GUUGAAUGAAAAAGGAUCAGGGCUACAGCAGAGUGAACAGCAUGAAGGUGCUAAGCCUGUUGCAAAUGGGCUGUGCCUUCUUCAGAGAGACUACACCAGUCACAAGGGACCUGAACAGAAACAGGGACAGAGCUCAGCUGCUUCAGAACUUUUUCCCAGAAAGCCGUCCUGGGACCUGACCCUUUAAAUAUGGCAGAGACACAAAGCUGCAGUCCUAAGGUGGCCAUUUUGUAACUUGCUGCUGCUCACUACAUCUCCCUCUUUGCCAGCUGCUUUGCAACAGCCAUCAGCAAAGAUGCCAAUGACAGACCCAGAUAUCACUGCCAGGAAAAAAUACUUUCCUGAACUUAACAUCUGGGUCCUGCAGCUGAAAGGAGCAGAAGAAAAAGGGGAAACAGUACAGACUGUCAUCAAAAGGAUGUGAUGGUGCCAAAUUAGCAUGGAAAUUACAUACAGAUGCCAUUUUUGACUUCAGACAAAUGGCUGGGCUAUUUCAGAAAAACAAAAGUGCUUAGAAAGGAAUGAUUGGUGAAUGAAUGUUGAUUUUUGUAGCUGUACAAAACAGGGUUAUAACUAGUGACAUGACGUUUUUGAAGUCCUACUGCCCAAUUAGGUAAUUUUUUAAUUUGAGCAAACAUAUUAAAAAGCCAAUACACAAAAGAAAAGAAAAGAUGGAGAAAACCAAUGGUUCUUCUAAUCAUUGCAUCACUUAAGCUGCUCAGGGCACAGUGUGACACUUCCUCUGAAAAGACCCUAUUAUCUGAAAAAUCACAAUUAAUCAAAAUUAGUCAGCUAGCUGGGGUUGUAGUAAAGGAAAUUGGAAAGGCUACUGUACCAGAAACCCUGUUUUAGUGGCCCAUUGAAGUCAGUGGGCAUCUCCAGUUGGCAUUGGAUCAGGUUCUAGGCCAGAGUCUCUCCUUUUUGAAGGUUAUACAUCCAAGAGGAGAGAAGGGGUUGUUGGAGCUAGGAUUCUUGAGAACACUGAGAUUUGAAUGGGGAAAUGGGUGCACUGGGUACACCUUUAUUUUUUUUUACAGAAAACUGGAGGAAAUGCAGUUUUUAAGUGUAAGAGAUAAGCAAAAGGGAGAUAACGCAACAGUGCUCUCACUGGAACAUUUUUGCACUGUGAACUCAAAAGCCUGAGCAUUAAAAUUUCUUUGUUGGCCUGAUAAAAAGUAUAACACUAUCUGCUUUGUUCUUAAAAUCCUUCUCAUACCAGAGGUGGUGGAACAAUUUGUGCGGGGGGUGCUGAGAGUCAUUGAACCAAACUGUAAACCCUAUAUAUGAUGGAAAACACUUCAAGCCAGGAGGUGCGGAAGUGCCCCCCCCACCCCCGCACCCUUAGUUCCAGCAUCUAUGUCUCAUAUCAUGCCUCUUCUUGUCAUAACUGGAUGGGUAACAGUAUUUGCUUUUUAUCUUCCAGUAUAAAAAGAAACUGAAGCCAGUGAUUUAGGUGGUUGCUGCUUUUUAUCUUUCAUGACUACAGUUAGAGAAUGUGUCACAAAGUAAUAGACUAUAAAACUAAUUAAAAAAAUUCUAUGCAUUUUAGAAGAUCUUGUUUCCAAUUUAUAUUUUUUUUAUGGUUGUACCUGAAAUUACUGUAUACUAAUGUGUAGGAUACAUUUCUGAUAGUUGUUCAUGUUAGAGUCAACAAAGAAGUUCA